AACAGCGGUAAUAGCACACGUUGAAAACGCCAGUUCUUCAGAGAUCACAGAAGUUAAGCAACGUCGCGCGUGGUUAGUAUCCGGAUGGGUGACCGUCUGGACAAUGACGGGCUGCUAACU
rnacentral:rRNA from 1 species